GAGAAGCUUGCUUCUCUCCGGCGACGAGUGGCGAACGGGUGAGUAAUACAUCGGAACGUGUCCGCUCGUGGGGGACAACCAGCCGAAAGGUUGGCUAAUACCGCAUGAGUUCUACGGAAGAAAGAGGGGGACCCGCAAGGGCCUCUCGCGAGCGGAGCGGCCGAUGACUGAUUAGCCGGUUGGUGAGGUAACGGCUCACCAAAGCAACGAUCAGUAGCUGGUCUGAGAGGACGACCAGCCACACUGGGACUGAGACACGGCCCAGACUCCUACGGGAGGCAGCAGUGGGGAAUUUUGGACAAUGGGCGCAAGCCUGAUCCAGCUAUUCCGCGUGUGGGAUGAAGGCCCUCGGGUUGUAAACCACUUUUGUAGAGAACGAAAAGACACCUUUUAAAAAAGGGUGUUGCUGACGGUACUCUAAGAAUAAGCACCGGCUAACUACGUGCCAGCAGCCGCGGUAAUACGUAGGGUGCGAGCGUUAAUCGGAAUUACUGGGCGUAAAGGGUGCGCAGGCGGUUGAGUAAGACAGAUGUGAAAUCCCCGAGCUUAACUCGGGAAUGGCAUAUGUGACUGCUCGACUAGAGUGUGUCAGAGGGAGGUGGAAUUCCACGUGUAGCAGUGAAAUGCGUAGAUAUGUGGAAGAACACCGAUGGCGAAGGCAG
rnacentral:rRNA from 1 species